rnacentral:rRNA from 1 species
GACGGGUGAGUAACACGUAGGAAUCUGCCUUAGAGUGGGGGAUAGCCUGGGGAAACCUAGGGUAAUACCGCAUAACAUCUACGGAUUAAAGCUGGGGACCUUUUAGGCCUGGCGCUCUAAGAUGAGCCUGCGUCAGAUUAGCUAGUUGGUGGGGUAAAGGCCUACCAAGGCGAUGAUCUGUAGCUGAUUUGAGAGGAUGAUCAGCCACACUGGGACUGAGACACGGCCCAGACUCCUACGGGAGGCAGCAGUGGGGAAUUUUGGACAAUGGGCGAAAGCCUGAUCCAGCAAUACCGCGUGUGUGACGAAGGCCUUCGGGUUGUAAAGCACUUUCAGUUGUGAAGAAAAAGCAUGAGUUAAUAGCUCAUGCCCAUGACGUUAGCAACAGAAGAAGCACCGGCUAACUCUGUGCCAGCAGCCGCGGUAAUACAGAGGGUGCAAGCGUUAAUCGGAAUUACUGGGCGUAAAGAGCGCGUAGGUGGUUAAUUAAGUCACAUGUGAAAUCCCCGAGCCCAGCUCGGGAACUGCAUGUGAUACUGGUUAACUAGAGUAUAGUAGAGGGAAGUGGAAUUUCCGGUGUAGCGGUGAAAUGCAUAGAUAUCGGAAGGAACAUCAGAGGCGAAGGCGACUUCUUGGGCUAUAACUGACACUGAGGCGCGAAAGCGUGGGUAGCAAACAGGAUUAGAUACCCUGGUAGUCCACGCCGUAAACGAUGAGAACUAGGUGUAA